AGCAGAGUGGCGCAGCGGAAGCGUGCUGGGCCCAUAACCCAGAGGUCCGAGGGUCCAAACCUCGCUCUUCUA
rnacentral:tRNA from 1 species